rnacentral:lncRNA from 1 species
UGGAGGACUCCACAAAGUUCACCUCCAUAUUGAACCUCUGUCAAGGAUGGAAGAAGGGAAAAGUCCCUAAAUAUUACAAGCAGCAGUCUCUCCUGAUGUAGCAGUGUCCCUUUUAUUCAAAGGGCUACCUCCACCCUGCCUGAAUGUUCCUGUUGUCUGAGAUGCUGGAGGUCUAGGAGUUUGGCAGAUGGGGAGUGGGCCACUCUUGCAGUUCUCCCUGGGUGGAGCCUCAAGCAGCUGUCAUGGUUUAGACAAAAUUCUCAUUAAAGAAAAAACAACAAGCAGUGUGAGUGUCCUGUUUGCAGAAAUCCAGAAAGUGUCUGCACUAAGAGAGAGUUUGCUGAAUCAGGGCCUCAUCAAGGCGUAUAUCUAACAAAAGCAAGUACUGGGGGAAAAAAGGAUAAAAGUCUAGCAGCAGAACCGUAUGGAAUAUAAUUGGCCACUUUCAGGGCCCUUUAAUCAAACCGACACAGGAGGAGGAUUUAGCCCAGCACUUCAUGCAAACCCUUUAAUUGCUCUGGAUCCAAACCCACCAUUGGUGUGGUGCCAUGUCCCCCGUGGGACACCAGUGGUGGCCAAGGACAAGAA